rnacentral:rRNA from 1 species
GUUAUAUGGUCAAGUGAAGAAGCGCAUACGGUGGAUGCCUUGGCAGUCAGAGGCGAUGAAAGACGUGGUAGCCUGCGAAAAGCUUCGGGGAGUCGGCAAACAGACUGUGAUCCGGAGAUGUCUGAAUGGGGGAACCCAGCCAUCAUAAGAUGGUUAUCUUGUACUGAAUACAUAGGUGCAAGAGGCGAACCAGGGGAACUGAAACAUCUAAGUACCCUGAGGAAAAGAAAUCAACCGAGAUUCCCUUAGUAGUGGCGAGCGAACGGGGACCAGCCCUUAAGUUGUAUUGAGAUUAGCGGAACACUCUGGAAAGGGUGGCCAUAGUGGGUGAUAGCCCUGUACGCGAAAAUCCCUUUGCAAUGAAAUCGAGUAGGACGGGGCACGAGAAACCUUGUCUGAAUAUGGGGGGACCAUCCUCCAAGGCUAAAUACUACUGACUGACCGAUAGUGAACCAGUACCGUGAGGGAAAGGCGAAAAGAACCGCGGAGAGCGGAGUGAAAUAGAUCCUGAAACCGUAUGCGUACAAGCAGUGGGAGCCCACUUUGUUGGGUGACUGCGUACCUUUUGUAUAAUGGGUCAGCGACUUAUUUUCAGUGGCGAGCUUAACCGAAUAGGGGAGGCGUAGCGAAAGCGAGUCUUAAUAGGGCGUCUAGUCGCUGGGAAUAGACCCGAAACCGGGCGAUCUAUCCAUGGGCAGGUUGAAGGUUGGGUAACACUAACUGGAGGACCGAACCGACUACCGUUGAAAAGUUAGCGGAUGACCUGUGGAUCGGAGUGAAAGGCUAAUCAAGCUCGGAGAUAGCUGGUUCUCCUCGAAAGCUAUUUAGGUAGCGCCUCAUGUAUCACUGUAGGGGGUAGAGCACUGUUUCGGCUAGGGGGUCAUCCCGACUUACCAAACCGAUGCAAACUCCGAAUACCUACAAGUGCCGAGCAUGGGAGACACACGGCGGGUGCUAACGUCCGUCGUGAAAAGGGAAACAACCCAGACCGUCAGCUAAGGUCCCAAAGUCAUGGUUAAGUGGGAAACGAUGUGGGAAGGCUUAGACAGCUAGGAGGUUGGCUUAGAAGCAGCCACCCUUUAAAGAAAGCGUAAUAGCUCACUAGUCGAGUCGGCCUGCGCGGAAGAUGUAACGGGGCUCAAACCAUGCACCGAAGCUACGGGUAUCAUCUUAGGAUGAUGCGGUAGAGGAGCGUUCUGUAAGCCUGUGAAGGUGAGUUGAGAAGCUUGCUGGAGGUAUCAGAAGUGCGAAUGCUGACAUGAGUAACGACAAUGGGUGUGAAAAACACCCACGCCGAAAGACCAAGGUUUCCUGCGCAACGUUAAUCGACGCAGGGUUAGUCGGUCCCUAAGGCGAGGCUGAAAAGCGUAGUCGAUGGAAAACAGGUUAAUAUUCCUGUACUUCUGGUUAUUGCGAUGGAGGGACGGAGAAGGCUAGGCCAGCCUGGCGUUGGUUGUCCAGGUUUAAGGUGGUAGGCUGAGAUCUUAGGUAAAUCCGGGAUCUCAAGGCCGAGAGCUGAUGACGAGUGUUCUUUUAGAACACGAAGUGGUUGAUGCCAUGCUUCCAAGAAAAGCUUCUAAGCUUCAGGUAACCAGGAACCGUACCCCAAACCGACACAGGUGGUUGGGUAGAGAAUACCAAGGCGCUUGAGAGAACUCGGGUGAAGGAACUAGGCAAAAUGGCACCGUAACUUCGGGAGAAGGUGCGCCGGUGGAGGUGAAGCAUUUACUGCGUAAGCCCCUGCCGGUCGAAGAUACCAGGCCGCUGCGACUGUUUAUUAAAAACACAGCACUCUGCAAACACGAAAGUGGACGUAUAGGGUGUGACGCCUGCCCGGUGCCGGAAGGUUAAUUGAUGGGGUUAGCGCAAGCGAAGCUCUUGAUCGAAGCCCCGGUAAACGGCGGCCGUAACUAUAACGGUCCUAAGGUAGCGAAAUUCCUUGUCGGGUAAGUUCCGACCUGCACGAAUGGCGUAACGAUGGCGGCGCUGUCUCCACCCGAGACUCAGUGAAAUUGAAAUCGCUGUGAAGAUGCAGUGUAUCCGCGGCUAGACGGAAAGACCCCGUGAACCUUUACUAUAGCUUUGCACUGGACUUUGAAUUUGCUUGUGUAGGAUAGGUGGGAGGCUUUGAAGCGUGGACGCCAGUCUGCGUGGAGCCAACCUUGAAAUACCACCCUGGCAACUUUGAGGUUCUAACUCAGGUCCGUUAUCCGGAUCGAGGACAGUGUAUGGUGGGUAGUUUGACUGGGGCGGUCUCCUCCUAAAGAGUAACGGAGGAGUACGAAGGUGCGCUCAGACCGGUCGGAAAUCGGUCGUAGAGUAUAAAGGCAAAAGCGCGCUUGACUGCGAGACAGACACGUCGAGCAGGUACGAAAGUAGGUCUUAGUGAUCCGGUGGUUCUGUAUGGAAGGGCCAUCGCUCAACGGAUAAAAGGUACUCCGGGGAUAACAGGCUGAUACCGCCCAAGAGUUCAUAUCGACGGCGGUGUUUGGCACCUCGAUGUCGGCUCAUCACAUCCUGGGGCUGAAGCCGGUCCCAAGGGUAUGGCUGUUCGCCAUUUAAAGUGGUACGCGAGCUGGGUUUAGAACGUCGUGAGACAGUUCGGUCCCUAUCUGCCGUGGACGUUUGAGAUUUGAGAGGGGCUGCUCCUAGUACGAGAGGACCGGAGUGGACGAACCUCUGGUGUUCCGGUUGUCACGCCAGUGGCAUUGCCGGGUAGCUAUGUUCGGAAAAGAUAACCGCUGAAAGCAUCUAAGCGGGAAACUUGCCUCAAGAUGAGAUCUCACUGGAACCUUGAGUUCCCUGAAGGGCCGUCGAAGACUACGACGUUGAUAGGUUGGGUGUGUAAGCGCUGUGAGGCGUUGAGCUAACCAAUACUAAUUGCCCGUGAGGCUUGACCAUAUAACACCCAAGCAAUU